ACAUGCAAGUCGAGCGAACGGACGAGAAGCUUGCUUCUCUGAUGUUAGCGGCGGACGGGUGAGUAACACGUGGAUAACCUACCUAUAAGACUGGGAUAACUUCGGGAAACCGGAGCUAAUACCGGAUAAUAUUUUGAACCGCAUGGUUCAAAAGUGAAAGACGGUCUUGCUGUCACUUAUAGAUGGAUCCGCGCUGCAUUAGCUAGUUGGUAAGGUAACGGCUUACCAAGGCAACGAUGCAUAGCCGACCUGAGAGGGUGAUCGGCCACACUGGAACUGAGACACGGUCCAGACUCCUACGGGAGGCAGCAGUAGGGAAUCUUCCGCAAUGGGCGAAAGCCUGACGGAGCAACGCCGCGUGAGUGAUGAAGGUCUUCGGAUCGUAAAACUCUGUUAUUAGGGAAGAACAUAUGUGUAAGUAACUGUGCACAUCUUGA
rnacentral:rRNA from 1 species